rnacentral:rRNA from 1 species
UGAGGAAUAUUGGUCAAUGGGGGAAACCCUGAACCAGCGACGCCGCGUGUGGGACGAAGGGGCUUUGCCUUGUAAACCACUGUCGGAUGGGAAGAAAAGUCGGGUCGCCCGACUGGGACUGUACCAUCAAAGGAAGGGUCGGCUAACUACGUGCCAGCAGCCGCGGUAAUACGUAGGACCCAAGCGUUGUCCGGAUUUACUGGGUAUAAAGGGUGCGCAGGCGGGCUUGUGCGUCUGGGGUUAAAUACCUCGGCUUAACCGAGGAACUGCCCUGGAUACGGCGAGUCUUGAGUGCAAGAGAGGGUGGUAGAAUUCCUGGUGUAGCGGUGAAAUGCGUAGAUAUCAGGAGGAAUACCAGUGGCGAAGGCGGCCACCUGGCUUGCAACUGACGCUCAGGCACGAAAGCGUGGGGAUCAAACAGG